UCAGUUUACUCGGGUUGGGGAUAACCUGGAGCCUACUGCCCGGGAAGAUCCGGACUCAGACCGAAGGAAACCGACCAUUAAAAAAAUGCAUCCAAUGGGAAUUUUUCCACUCGGGCCCUCGGCUGCCGAGUCGCGGCAGACUCCGGGAGCUAUUUCACCGGCCGACGCGGACUCGGGGCAGUUUCGGAAGGACCCCACCAUCGGGGGCGAGGACUAGGCUCCCAGUGCAUUGUUAGCAGAAGGGCGCCCUCCGGGCGGCGCGCCUCGGCCCUUUGCUCCUGGAGAGCUCCCGGCGCCCGCCCAGGGCCGGGACCGGCAGCACCAUAGGCCACCUCUCCGCGCCUUCUAGGGUCCAACCCUUCGCACUUCACCUGGACCAGAUGGCCCAAGUCCCAGCGUUCGGCCAGAGCCGCCUAUGCAAUGCUACUCCAAGCCCCAAGAAACCUACGCUACCGCGGGACGUUCCCUCCACACUGGUCAACAGGUCUGCAGAGCGCAGCACUCAAGAUCGCGGCACCGUCAUCCCCACCCAGCCGUGAGGCCAGCCGACUUUUGGCCCGCCUUGUCGGCCCCCGCCACCCAGAGACCUCCCCCGUCUUUCUGCAGGGCCGCCGCCGAUCCCUCCAGUUGGGGCAGCCUCAGGAGUCCGGGGCGCAGCGAGGAGACAUCCCCCCCACCCCACUCCUCCCCCAGGCGCUCUCGGCCUGACUCCCUUCUCCCCAACCUCCCAAACAGGUUACCUUGUCCACGCUCUCCAGACCACGCUUUGGACUUUUUCACUUUUAUUUAAGAGUCCACCCGGGGAAGGAGGAAAAAAAAAUCCAGAGGAGAUCCGAGUCAAUUGGAAAGAAAAAAAAAAUUCAAAAGGGUGUCCACAGCGGCGAAAAAGCCCAGACUCUGCCGACCUUCAAACGACAACAGGGCUUUCAGGAGGGUGCGGGGAGACCACUUCCCACCCGAACCUGGCCAGAAACCCGGCACCCCCAGCCACAUCGGCCCUCUUUCGGGCAGAAGGGAUUCCAGCUCCACCACCCGGAGGCCCCCUUCCGGGUCCUGGGCAAACACUGAGGUUGCUAAUGGCCACCCCACCGGAGCCGCUACUCCCCCUUCCUGACGCACUCCUCCAAGUGCUUGAGAAGGCUCCUCCGUGGCAAAAAUGUAGUGUAGGUCUCUCUUCCAACUUCUACUGUGCCUGGCAAAGAGCCCGUUACCUUCACUGCACUGAUCAGUACAGUCACCCCAGUAAGCCUAGCGCCCCCAAUUCCUUGCAGCAGCAGCUGUGUCUCCCAUUGGGAGUUGCUCAGUAUGCAACUAGAUUAAACUGAGGACUUGCCCUCCUGUUUUCACCGUG